UACCAAGAUAAAGUCUCGCCAUCGACAUCUAUAAAAAUGAUGGACGUGUUAGGCUCUUAACAAGAUAUAUCAAACGUGCAAAUAAAGAAAAUGCAUGACCAUCCAAUGACUUCUUCCUUUACUCCAGCUUCCUCUCUCUACAUCUAUCUUAGUUGCGCGAGCAACACAUGUAAACUUGAUGCUAGAUGGGAAAAGUAAAAAUGCAACAAGGCUCUGAUAGGUGAACUAGUUGAUGCUAUGCGAAUCUGUUGAUGGUAGGUGACAAAACCGAACAAUGGUCUGACAAGAGAAUUAGUUGAUCGCAUGCGACCAAACCCAACAAGGGUUUGGCAAUCUAAUAAACCUAACAAGGGUCACUAGUAGGUGGCACAUGAACUAGUUGAUAUUAGGCGAACUAGCUGAUGGCAGUCAUCGGACCACCGACUUGAUGGCAAAAUAAAAACCAUUAAGG
rnacentral:lncRNA from 1 species